rnacentral:rRNA from 1 species
UACGUAGGGCGCAAGCGUUGUCCGGAAUUAUUGGGCGUAAAGAGCUCGUAGGCGGCUUGUCACGUCGGGUGUGAAAACCCGGGGCUCAACUCCGGGCCUGCAGUCGAUACGGGCAGACUAGAGUUCGGUAGGGGAGACUGGAAUUCCUGGUGUAGCGGUGAAAUGCGCAGAUAUCAGGAGGAACACCGGUGGCGAAGGCGGGUCUCUGGGCCGAAACUGACGCUGAGGAGCGAAAGCGUGGGGAGCGAACAGG